GGGCGCUUGUCUGUUGUUUAUUCCCUUCAGCCCAACCGCACCCGCACCUCCUCUUCCUCCAUCCCCGCUCGCUGCUUCCGGAGAGCUCGCGUCGCGUGGCGCGUGCGCGUGCGGGGGCGGAGCAGCACAGCGCCGCACUACCCUCGCGCGUCGCUCGCGCGCGCGCGUUCUCGAUGGCCGACGGCGAGCCUUCCCUCACGCGCUGGACCUUCGAGGACUUCGAGGCCUACUACGAGGCGCGCCUCGGCGUCCGCCGCGAGCCCGCGGAAGACGGCGACGAUGGUCCCCAGCCGCGCGGAUCCGACCACCUGGCCGGCAGCCCCUCCAUGCCACGCGCCAACGGCGGCGCGGACCUCGCCGUCUUCGAGCAGUUCGAGCGGAUGGUGCUGGAGAGGAAGGUGGAGGCGCGCAAUGGGGCUAUAGAGGAUGGGCCGCCGCUGAAACCUCUACUUCCUUCAUUUGAAUCUGCAGAAAUGCGUAACUUAGCUGAGACAUUGUUGAGGGAUAUAAUUCGUGGGAGCCCAGAUGUCAAGUGGGAAAGCAUAAAAGGUCUGGAGAAUGCAAAGCGGCUCCUCAAAGAAGCAGUUGUCAUGCCCAUUAAAUAUCCCAAGUACUUCACAGGCCUAUUAUCACCUUGGAAAGGUAUAUUAUUAUUUGGUCCACCCGGAACAGGAAAGACGAUGCUUGCAAAAGCUGUGGCUACUGAAUGCAAAACUACCUUUUUCAAUAUUUCUGCCUCGUCAAUUGUGAGCAAGUGGCGUGGUGACUCGGAGAAACUAGUCAAAGUAUUAUUUGAGCUUGCAAGGCAUCAUGCACCAUCUACCAUUUUCCUUGAUGAGAUUGAUGCUAUUAUUAGUCAACGUGGUGAAGCUCGUAGUGAACAUGAAGCUAGCCGGAGAUUGAAAACUGAGCUAUUAAUACAGAUGGACGGGUUGACUAAGACAGAUGAGCUUGUCUUUGUUCUAGCGGCUACAAAUUUACCAUGGGAGUUGGAUGCAGCAAUGCUGCGCCGGCUGGAGAAGCGUAUUCUUGUACCAUUGCCAGAGCCAGAUGCUAGACAUGCUAUGUUUGAAGAGCUCCUGCCAUCUGGUCCUUGCAGAAUGGAGAUUCCCUAUGAUGUUCUUGUGGAGAAAACUGAAGGAUAUUCUGGCUCUGAUAUUCGCCUUGUGUGCAAGGAGGCAGCAAUGCAGCCCCUAAGACGGUUAAUGACAGUUCUGGAACGCAACCAAGAAGAGGUCCCUGAGGAUGAGUUGCCUGAAGUCGGUCCGAUAACGUCAGAAGAUAUUGAACUUGCUUUAAGGAAUACAAGGCCGUCUGCUCAUCUUCAUGCACACAGAUAUGAAAAGUUCAACCAAGAUUAUGGCAGCCAUGUCCAUGGCUGAAGGAGUCUGUUGUAAGAUAUUUGUACUCAGUAUGGAACUCGUGCAUGGGCUGUUAGAUCAAUGUUGAGUUUCCAUAGAUGAGAUGAAGGUUGAAUUAGUUGGUGCAUGCAACUCAAAUGGUAUCAAGGCAAGAUGUCUUGAGUUCGAAUCCCCUAGUGGGUGCGAGUCAAUAAAAUAAUUGCAGCCGACUUCUAUUUUCACGUUUGAAGCCUGGGGGAGCAUGCGCGUGAGGGAUGCACGUGAGAGGGAACAACUCAAGAACUAUACAUCAACCAGCCGAUGCUUGGUAAAUGCUGGUGUUCUUACCUACGUACCAAUCUUGAUUGAUCAGCAUAUAGUAGCUGUAGUUCGCAACCUUCUUCCCAGGAAUCUUUGAGCUCCUUGUCCUUUUACCAUUCGUCCUACUGAACAAUUGUUGAAUCUGUCGCGCGCACCUGGCCACAACUUGUCGCGAGUUAGGUCUUCAGUUUAUUCUUGGCAACACAUAUUCGCGAA